rnacentral:rRNA from 1 species
GAUGAACGCUAGCGGCAGGCUUAACACAUGCAAGUCGAGGGGUAUGCCGAUUUAUCGGCAGAGACCGGCGCACGGGUGCGUAACGCGUAUGCAAUCUACCUUUCACAGAGGGAUAGCCCAGAGAAAUUUGGAUUAAUACCUCAUAGUAUAGCAGUUUCGCAUGAAACCACUAUUAAAGUUCCAACGGUGAAAGAUGAGCAUGCGUCCCAUUAGCUAGAUGGUAAGGUAACGGCUUACCAUGGCUACGAUGGGUAGGGGUCCUGAGAGGGAGAUCCCCCACACUGGUACUGAGACACGGACCAGACUCCUACGGGAGGCAGCAGUGAGGAAUAUUGGUCAAUGGGCGCAAGCCUGAACCAGCCAUGCCGCGUGCAGGAAGACGGUCCUAUGGAUUGUAAACUGCUUUUAUACAGGAAGAAACCCUCCCACGUGUGGGAGCUUGACGGUACUGUAGGAAUAAGGAUCGGCUAACUCCGUGCCAGCAGCCG